CUGUAAAAAAAAAUCCCGUAAAAAAACGGUAAAAUUCCGGCAGCUGGGGUGCCGGAAAAAUACCGUAAAAUAACAGGCACAUUACAUAACAGUAAUUUUCCGUAAUUCAAAAAUACAGUUUUUUGCUGUAAUUUUACAUGAGAUUUUCUGUAUUUUCUUCACUUUUAAUGUUCAAUAAGAUGUUUUACAUGAAUUUUGUGGAAACCAUUAAAUUAUCAUGAAGUUAUUUUUUUAAUCAAAAUUAUUUAACACUGCUUUAAUUUAAAUAAUCAGACAUAGGUGCAAGAUAGUGUUUUAAUAAUUUAUUGCCCUAUCUGCAAGAACAUACCAAUACAUUUUGUUCAAAACUGCAAUUUACUCUUAAUAUUCUAUAUUCAAGACUGCAACAAUAUACAAGUAUAAAGAUUAUAGCACAAGUUCAAUGAUUUUCCAAUAAUCAUAACUUCAACAAUAUUACAAUUCAUUUUGUUCAUGGCCAAAACAGAAUAAAAAUAUUUUAAAAAAAAUCAUAAAUGCAACAGCACACAGUAAAAACAAUUUUGGUAAACACAACAAUUUAUACUAAAAUUGUCCUUUAAUUUAACUGAACCACCUGUGAAGAAAUUAUUCACCUCGACAACAGAUAUAUGCUCUAAUAGUGUAGAGAUGAUAGUAAAGUAACACUCUGACGCUCACAACUCAAUCCUCAGACUGAUCCUCAGUGCACUAAUAACAUCAGUCAGAUGUGUAUGUGUAGCUGUAGAGUUCAGGAAGCAUCCGUUCUACACAGAACAGAAAGAGACGACUCCCAGACGAACGGCAUCUUAACAUCAGGGAUCUCAACCAUGUGCUGUCAUAUGAGUGUGUGUGUGUGUGUAGGUGUGUGUGUGUGUGUGUGUGUGUUCACUG